rnacentral:misc_RNA from 1 species
AACAAGGCGUACCUGCGGACCUGCGGAAGGAUCAUUAACGAAUAACUAUGGUGUUGGUUGUAGCUGGCUCCUCGGAGCAAUGUGCACGCCCGCCAUUUUUAUCUUUCCACCUGUGCACCGACUGUAGGUCUGGAUACCUCUCGCCUCCGGGCGGAUGCGAGGGUUGCUCGUAAGGGCUUCCCUUGAACUUCCAGGCUCUACGUCUUUUUACACACCCCAAUAGUAUGAUGCAGAAUGUAG